AGAGUUUGAUCCUGGCUCAGAUUGAACGCUGGCGGCAUGCUUUACACAUGCAAGUCGAACGGUAACAGGUCUUCGGAUGCUGACGAGUGGCGAACGGGUGAGUAAUACAUCGGAACGUGCCUAGUAGUGGGGGAUAACUACUCGAAAGAGUAGCUAAUACCGCAUGAGAUCUAAGGAUGAAAGCAGGGGACCUUCGGGCCUUGUGCUACUAGAGCGGCCGAUGGCAGAUUAGGUAGUUGGUGGGAUAAAAGCUUACCAAGCCGACGAUCUGUAGUUGGUCUGAGAGGACGACCAGCCACACUGGGACUGAGACACGGCCCAGACUCCUACGGGAGGCAGCAGUGGGGAAUUUUGGACAAUGGGCGCAAGCCUGAUCCAGCAAUGCCGCGUGCAGGAUGAAGGCCUUCGGGUUGUAAACUGCUUUUGUACGGAACGAAAAGCUCCUGGCUAAUAUCCGGGGGUCAUGACGGUACCGUAAGAAUAAGCACCGGCUAACUACGUGCCAGCAGCCGCGGUAAUACGUAGGGUGCAAGCGUUAAUCGGAAUUACUGGGCGUAAAGCGUGCGCAGGCGGUUAUGUAAGACAGAGGUGAAAUCCCCGGGCUCAACCUGGGAACGGCCUUUGUGACUGCAUAGCUAGAGUACGGUAGAGGGGGAUGGAAUUCCGCGUGUAGCAGUGAAAUGCGUAGAUAUGCGGAGGAACACCGAUGGCGAAGGCAAUCCCCUGGACCUGUACUGACGCUCAUGCACGAAAG
rnacentral:rRNA from 1 species